ensembl:ncRNA lncRNA:CR45901 long non-coding RNA:CR45901
AAGUAUAGUACACAAGGCAUUAGCCGAUCUACUUAGAACCAUUAAUCAAACGGAAAGUUAUGUUCGAAUUUCUUCUAAUAGAUCUGUAGAUUGUGUGGUAUUUUUUCGUCAAGCGUCUCUUGAUUUCUGACAUUCAUUAAAUUCAUUUAUUUUUAUACUGACUAUUUCUACCGGUUCUUGUAUAAAUAAAUUCUCAGCCCACGUCUAAAUAUUACCGCUUAGUUAGUUAAAUGGAAAUACAAGAUACACAGCAGGCUCUGCCAAAUUAUCUUGAAACCUAACUUGACGGAAAAAGUGAUGUAUUUGCAAGCUUCGUUUUUAGAAAACAAAAGUAUUCAACAUGGCUGCCCAACAAACAUGUCAGAGAAGAUGUGAACACGAAAAAAGCAUACAGAAGUGAAAAAGAAACAAAAUUAAAACCAGAGGAAACGAGUCAGCGACGGAGGCGAAGCGAAGGCUGAAACCGAGGCUUCGGUGAUGAAGAUGAAGAUGGUGAAGUCUGGGCGCGGAACAAGUUUUCAAAACUUGCUACAAAGGUGUCUUUAAAAAUCUUUUAAUUUCGACUCCUUCCCCCGACGGUUCACCCUUCUUUUUUGCCCGUUCGAGCAAAGUGCAAAUUUGCUGUCGUCAGUGGGCAACUGAAAAUGGAGCUUGAGAAGGAGCUCCAAAGCGCCUGGGAGCUGGGAGUCGCCGCCCGCCUUUUAAUGAAGCGCGAAGUGCAGAAAAUGUAUUUGUAUCUCUUACUGCACAAGAAGAAAUAUCUCACGAUUCGGUUCACAUUGUUCAGGCUCUAUCAGAAAACGUUAUAUAUUUGUUUCAUUUUAAGCCAUAUCGAUUACGUUUUCAAAUAAUAUCAAUUAAGUAUUCCAUCAAAAGUAUAUUCGU